CUGCUAACGCGGGGGUCCUGCGCUGCACAUCGCAAUCUGCUGCUGAUUGUCCGUGUGUCGCGGGUGAGAAAUACCCUUUGAACCUGAUCUGGAUAAUGCCAGCGCAGGGAAGCGUUCGGAUUUUGCCG
rnacentral:ncRNA from 2 species